rnacentral:lncRNA from 1 species
CCCAUUACUAUCUCGGACCAUCUUUGGCUUAGAUUUCUCAUUUAAAACAGGCUUAAAGUAAAAGCUAAAGAAAAACCAAGCGCCCCAGAUGCUAUCUACACGUUUCACACAUUUCCUCCCAACUUUAGGCACACUAAGAAAUGUUUCAGGUUCAUAGAUCUGGGUACCAAGCCCGACAUCAAGAAUAUCACAAUGUUCCGAGUUCCAUAGCUGAUGUUUCAGGUUCAUAGAUCUGAGUACCAAGCCCAACAUCAAGAAUAUCACAGUGUUCCGAAUUCCAUGGCUGAGGAGGCGAGCUACGCUCAGCCGAUAAGGGCAGAUUGAUGUCAGGCGGACGAGUAAUAACAACUUGGCGAUUCAUCUCGAGGUCUAAUUCAUCAUGUGAAGAUGAAGCACUUGAAUCCAUUGACAAAAGGGUUGAAGGGUGAUGAUUAUUCUCCAUUGACAAUGUUUUAAGAAGAGUAUCUACCAUUUCACAAAUUUAAUCCCUUAAAAAAAGGGACUCUAUUGCUAAAUGCUAGCUCCAAUAUUUAAGUACCCAAAUGAACUUUUUUGAUAAAGAAUUGUUCUUUACAAACAACACAUCCAUCUUGAUAAUCCCAACCACAACAUUCAGACUACCACUAAAUCCCUUUUACUUGUUCCCCUUAAAAAAGGGACUCUAUUGCUAAAUGCUAGCUCCAAUAUUUAAGUACCCAAAUGAACUUUUUUGACAAAGAAUUGUUCUUUACAAACAACACAUCCAUCUUGAUAAUCCCAACCACAACAUUCAGACUACCACUAAAUCUCUUUUACUUAUUCAUCACAUAACUACAAACCCCACAAAACCCCAAAUAGGAAAAUAGUCAAAAUAUUCAGCAACAGCUAUAAAACUCCAAAGAAAAGCUAUAAAAAUGAAAUCUCGGAAACCCCAUAGUCAUUAUUUCCCCCGAAACCUACAUAAAAACUGUAUAUUUUUGCAUCUAAUAACAGAACUAUAUGUAUUUUUUGAUUAUGUAAAAAUCAAGAAAAUUGAUAUGGGACUAAGAAAAGAGGAGAAUGCAUUACCAAUCAAUAAAGCCAAGGCCCAAGAAAAGGACUAAAUCAGAAGGGAUCUUAGAUGAGUACCUUUUAGGAUAAGCUUCAACAACUAAAAACCCACAAAUAUUUGGACACUCUGAAGAAUCAAUAGCCCUUACCAUCCUCAUAUCUUCACUUUCUACUAGUACUUGAUUUUUCACUUAUGGUUUGAAGAAUUUACACACACACACACACAGAGCAAUUACAUAGGAAUGAAGUGAAAAAGAACUCAAGUCAAGAUUACAAAGAGAGAGGAAAAAACGGGGAACACACAUAGAUGGGGAAAUUUGUUUGUGUAUUUGGUGUUUGGUGGUCACAAACAGAAAUACCCUGUGCUAGAUAACACCGUCUGAUCAGAGAGUAUUCACCGUUUAUUGAUCUAAGAACAGUUGUCACCAUUUUCACUAACGGUGACGGUGGUAUUUUGGACUGUUUGUGGGGGUAGAUAAAAAGUGGGGGACGGUAAGAGAUUGAUAUAAUUAAUUCGGGUUGGUGUUUAGU